UACGAAGGGGGCUAGCGUUGCUCGGAAUUACUGGGCGUAAAGGGCGCGUAGGCGGGUCGUCAAGUUGGGGGUGAAAGCCCGGGGCUCAACCUCGGAAUUGCCUUCAAAACUGACGACCUAGAGUAUGGGGGAGGUGUGUGGAACUCCGAGUGUAGAGGUGAAAUUCGUAGAUAUUCGGAAGAACACCAGUGGCGAAGGCGGCUCACUGGCCCGGUACUGACGCUGAGGUGCGAAAGCGUGGGGAGCAAACAGG
rnacentral:rRNA from 1 species